CAGGAACUUCGGGCGCCCAGUCCUCCGGGCCGCUGGAGCGCGUGGGGGAGCGAAGCGCGUUCCCGCCCCGGUGGCCCCUCCACGCCGAGCCCCCUUGGUCUCCGCGGAGCUGACGCACCGGCCGAGGCGCUGAGAGAUGGGGUUCAGAAUCAAUAGCAGAUACUAAAUGUCUGUUGAAUGAAUGACUGGCCUGAAUAUCCUUCUGAGAUGAAGUGUUCCAUUAUUAGCUGUAUGAGAGAGAGACAGCAAGAGAGGGAACACAAGCAGGGGAGCGGGAGAGGGAGAAGCAGGCUUCCUGUGGAGCAGGGGCCCUGAAGUGGGACUCGAUCGGAGGCCUCUGGGAUUAUGACCUGAGCCGAAGGCAGACGCUAAGGACUGAGCCACCCAGGUGCCCCAGCAAAUAUGUUUUUAAACUAAAUCUGAUCAUGCCAUUCCUCUGCUUAAAACCCAUCAAUGUCUUCUAAUUUUACUAAGAAUAUCAGGCAGACUUCUUCUCAUGACCUACGGAUCACACAUGCUCUGGUCCCUGCCUCCUUCUUUAAAUCCAUUGCAGGCCCCUUCUGCAAUAAUUGUUCACCAUGUUAUUGAUGCUCUUUCCUUUUAAAAGGUUAAUGAGCCCAUUAAGCUCUUUUCCAACCAGAUUAUUUGUAGUCAUUGUUGCAUCAGCAUGAAAGUCUUCUUUUUGUAGGAUUCAAUGUUAAGGCCAUUAAAGUUGCAUUUUUGUCUUUCUCAUUCAUUGUUGAUUUCCCAGCACCUAGAAUGGUUCUUGUUACACAUUAGGUGUUCCGCAUGCAUUGUUAAAUUAGAUACAGGAUUACAUUUCAUCCCUAAGGUCUUAGCUACCAUUUCCUUUCCUCAGAUGGGCUUUUCCUAAGCACUGUUUCUAAGGUUACCACCCCCAAGAUUAAAUUGCACUUUAUCCCUUAUCAUUUUAAUGGUAUUCCAUACCAUUUUAAUUUCUUUCACAGCAGUUUUCACAAUCUGCAAUCAUCUUGCUGAUCUUUUUCUUUGUUUGAUUAUUGUCUAUAUUCUUUAGUAAAAUACAAAAUCAGUGAAGGCAUCUUCUGGCUUGUUUACACUGAAACUUUAGUGCCCAACACACUAUCUGUACACACUAGUCCUAUACAAUAAUCCCCAGUAAAUUUAUGAAACAAAAUUAACAAAUAAAUAAAUGAACAUAAAGGGCAAUAUGGAAAGAUUUCUGAGGAAAAAAUUAGGGAAGGUGAAGUGAAACUGAUAAAGUUUAGCAAGUAAAUAUAAACAGUGUAUUGUUUACCCCAUUAAGAUUAUUUAUAAAAAUGCCAAAAUACACAGGUUCUUAUAUUAACUCAUCUGGAGAGUACAAUUUCCCUUUAAUUUUUUUCCCCUUGUUCUGAGCCAAUUUCCUCUCCAUGACAAAGUUCCUCUAACCCUUAGUCAUUUUGGUAGAAAUUUUUUCCAGUCUUUGAUAUGGAAAUUUUCAAUGGUUUUUGGAAAUUUAAAUAGCUUAGGUUAAUCAGUUUUUUUCUCCAUAAACCAGGAAUGUAUUUCCCCUCAGAAUUUUAUCAAAAUGUUCCAUUUUGGAACUUGACUCAUAUCUGUUCCUAUGGUUUCUAUGGUUGUCUACUUCUCUACAAAAAAUAUUACCUACCAUGGUUUUGAGUCUUUAAUGUAAGAUAUAAUCCAUUUUUCAAGAAGUGCACAAAAUAUGAAUGUAAAGAUCAAUGAUUAUCUCCUUUCCAUAUCAAGAAAUAGAAAAUUACCAGCACUAAAAAAAAGAAAGAAAGAAAGAAAGAAAGAAAGAAAGAAAGAAAGAACAAGAAAGAAAAUUACCAGCACUACAGAAUGCCUACUCCCUUAUGCACUCCCAAAUUCUAUCCUUUCCCUCCUCCACUAUAGUUUGGUUUGAAUUAAAAUUUAUAGAAAUGGAAUCAUAAAAUAUAUAUUUUUUGUGUCUGUCUUGUUUCUCACAGCACUAUGCCUCUAAGAAUCACCCAUGUUAUGAGUAGCGGUAUUUUAUUCUUUGUCAUUGCUGGUUUUUGUUACACUGGACAGAGGUAUCACAAUUUAUCUCUUCCUUUCACUGUUGAUGGAAAUUGGAUUUGUUUCCAAUUUUUAGCUCUCAUGAAUAAUGCUGAAAGUUCUUCUACAUGCCUCUUGAGAUACAUGUGCAAGCAUUUCUAUUGGGAAUAUUUUAGUAAUGGAACUGCUAUCUUAUAAGGAGUGUUUGUGUGCAGUUUUAGAAGAUAUUACUUAAUAGAUGACUAAAUUCCUGGUAUCAAUUUAACAUUAGCCAAAAGAAUAUGAGAAUUAGUUGCUCCAUGCCCUUGCCAUCUCUUGUUACUAAAAGUCCUUUCGAUUUUAGCCACUCUCGUGGGUAUGCAGUAAUGUCUUAUUAUGUUUUAAUUUAAUUUUCCUGAUGAUUAGUAUGUUCCACAAAUUUUCAUAGAUUUGUCAUUUUAGUAUAAGUCUCUUGCCCAUUUUUCUUUUGAGUUGUGUGUUUUUUCCUUAUUGAUUUUGUAUGUGUGUUUCAUUUAUCCUGCAUAUAAACCUCUUAGUUAUAUGUAUAGUGAGUAUAUUUGAUUUUUUUGACUUCUUUCUUGAUGCCAUCUUUUGAUGAACACAAUGUCUACAUAUUAAAGUAACGAUUUAUCAUUUUCUCCCUUAUUGUUAAAACUUUUUGUUUCCUGUUUAAGAAAUUUUUACUCAACUCAAGAUUGUGAUUAUAUGAUUUAAAAAUCUUAUCAAACUAUACUGCUUUCCUUUUCACGUUUAUAUCUACACUCUAUUUGGAAUUGUUUUUGAGAGUGGUGUGAGGUAAGGGUUAAGAUUCAAUUUUUUCCCAUAUGGGUACCCAAUUAAACCAGCACCGUUUAUGGUUUCUUUCCUUUCCCCAUUGUGUUAUAGGGCCACUUUGGCAUAAAUCAAAUGGGUAUAUUUGUGGUCUCUCUAUUCUGUUAAAUUGUUCUAUUUUUCUAUCCUCAUGCCAAUAUAACAUUAAGUUAUUGCAGCUUUAUAGUGUUUUGAUUUCAGUAGAAAAACAUCCCACCUUAUUUUCCUUCAAGAGUGCUUUACCCAUUUGGUUUUUUUUAAUGUAUAUACUUUUUAGAGCAGUUUAGGUUUAGAACAAAAUUGAGAGGAAAAUACAGAGAUUUCUCAUAUAUCUCCCACCCUGACGCAUGUAUAGCCCCUCCCGUUAUGUACAUCACUCACUGGAAUGAUAUUUUUUUUUUACUAAGAAUGAACUUACAGUGACUCAUUAUAAUCACCCCACGUCCGUAAUUUACCUUGGGGUUCACUUUUGGUGUUGUACAUUCUAUGAGUUUGGACAAAUGUGUACUGACAUAUGUUUGUCAUGAUAAUAUCACGCAGAAUUUUUUCACUGUCUUAAAAAUUUUCUAUGCUCUGCCUAGUUAUCUAUUCCUCCCUUCUCCCACCCUGGGAAUCACUGAUUCUUUUAUUAUCUCCACAGUUUUGUUAUUCCAGAAUGUCACAGAGUUGAAAUCAUAUAGUGUGUGACCUUCUCAGAUUGGCUUUUUUCACUUAGUAAUAUGUAUUUAAAAUUCCUCCAUGUCUUUUCAUGGCUUGAUAGCUCAUUUAUUUUUAGCACUGAAUAAUAUUCUGUCAUCUGGAUAUAUCACAGUUUACCUACUGCAGGAUAACCUUGGUUGCUUCCAAGUUUUGGCAAUUAUAACUUUUUAAAAAGAUUUUGUUUAUUUAUUUUUGUGAGAGAGCGAGCACGAACAGGAGGGAGGGGCUGAGAGAGAAGCUGUCUCCCCGCUGAGCAGAGAGCCCAAUGCCGGACACAGUCCCAGGAUCCUGGGAUCAUGACCUGAACCAAAAGCAGAUGCUUAAUCGCUUAACUGACUGAGCCACCCAGGUGCCCAAGUUUUGGCAAUUAUAAAUAAAGCUGCAAUACACAUCCAUGUGCAGGUUUUUGUGUGGAUAUAAGUUUUGACUCCUUUGGGUAAGUAACAAGAAGAAUGUAUUUUCAUUGCUUUAUUGAGUGAUGACUGAGAUCCUAGGUUGGAAAUAGGAGAAAAACAAUUUAGCAAAGCAAAUUUACCAUUAAAGUUCAAAGAGAUGCCUGUAAUUAUUUCAUUUGUGCAGGCCAUCCCUAGCCAUGUUAAGUACUAUGCACAUAUCUCUAAUUCUUACUCUGAAUUUGAAUGUUUAGAUUAAAUCUAAAAACCAGUGGUAUCUAAGUCUCUCUUUACCUUCGUCUACUUCAGUACAAAGAUUAAUUCUUCAUUUUUACUCAUACAAUAAAUAAUUAUUGACUGCUACCUAUGACACAGACAUUAUUCUACAUGAUGGAGAUAUAGCAAUAACCGAAACAAAUUAAAAUCCUUGCUUUCAUGGAGUUUACAUUCCAGGAGAAAGACAUGUCAAGUUCAUCAAGGACGUCUUUUUUUUUAAGCAUUUUUAAAAAAUUUUCUUAUGUUAAUCACCAUACAUUACAUCAUUAGUUUUUGAUGUAGUGUUCCACGAUUCAUUGUUUUCAUAUAACACCCAGUGCUCCAUUCAGUACAUGCCCUCUUUAAUACCCAUCACCAGGCUGACACAUCCUCCCACGCACCUGCCCUCUAAAACUCUCAGUUUGUUUCUCAGAGUCCAUAGUCUCUCAUGGUUCGUCUCCCCCUCCGAUUCCCCCCCCCUUCAUUUUUCCCUUCCUGCUAUCUUCUUCUUCUUUUUUUUUUUUUUUUAACAGAUAAUGUACUAUUUGCUUCAGAGGUACAGGUCUGUAAUUCAACAGUCUUACACAAUCAAGGAUGUCUUUUUAGCAGAAUGUUUUCCCUGGGAAUCCUGUACCUUAUAGACUGAUGGGGCUACAGUGCCAUGAUACAGUGAUAGAAAAGUUUAUGAUACAGUGGAUUGGGCCCCUCCUUGAGUCCAGGGCCUGAGUUUGAGUCCCAGCCUUAUUAUUAUAACUUGUGGGACCUGAGGAGUCUGUCCUGUGUGAGUCUCCAUGUCUACCAUAGGGAUUAGCAAGACUAAAUUCACAAGAUUGUCAAAGGGAAUUAAAUUAGAUGAUAGACAAGAAAAAAUAAUUUACAAAUUAAAAAAUUAUAUAUAUGUAUUUAUAAAUCAACUUAGGGAGAUCAACUUCUUUAUAAUAUUGACACUUGCAAUAAAAUCAUAGCAUUUCUUUUCAUUUUGUAUAUAUUUUAAAAUUUCUGUCCAUGAAGAUUAAUAAUUUUCUGUGUGGGGGUAUUGCACAUAGUUUGUACAUUUAUUUUGAGUGAUUGGAAUUUUUUAUGCUGUGCAAGUGGUAUCUUUACAUAUUUUUUUAAAUCAUGUGAUUGUUCAUGUUUAAAAGUAAAUACUACUAUUUCCUCAUGGCUAAAAAGCCUCUUUUUGAAAAUAUAAUGGUAGGCAAGUUUGGAACUAUGUAGAAAAUAAAGGUAAUGCUGCAUAUUUUGAAGUUAAAUUUCACGCAGUUUUUUAUGUUGUUUAUGAAUCAUUCAUUCAUUCAAACUUUAAUGACUACCUUUCAUUUAUCAGAUACCAUGAGAGUCAAGUGGGGACAUAAACAAUCCCAAUACAAUGUAAUUAUUCUGCACUAGAGGUAUAUAUACAAAAUACCUCUCUCUCUACAUAUAUAGAGAGAGAUCUUUAUAUCAUUUGAUAUAGAUAUCAAGUAUAUAUAUAUUUGUAUGGAAAUCAUUUUAAAGUAUACAUGCAUAUAAAUCACUCAAGGGAGAAACUAAAAAAAAAAAACAUGCUUAGCUGUACAUGAUCCUAUUUUUAAGAUACAAUCAAUUUAUCUACUAUUUUCAAAUUAACUAAAAAAUACUUUAACUCCUUUUUGCAUUAAUGAGAAAUUCUUCAUUUAUGCUGUCUUAUUAAAGCUUGAUUUCAUUCUUACCUGGUAAUUCUUGGAGAUUUCUGCUCCUCAGAGUAUCCCCUGCAUUCACAGGGAUUUUUGAAUUUUUUUAUUUUUUGCAAGAAUUUUUGAGAGCUAUCUUUUUACUUAGAGGUGAGAAUCCUGAAGUAUCUCUUUGAAGAUACAAAUUUUGUUUGUGUGGAAAAGGCGAGAGCAGGAAGAAGGAACCAAAUUUAAUCCUAUUGUAGAAAGGCUACUGUUUAAUCUUCCUCUCCUCUAAAAAUAAAUGCAAAUCCCCACACUAGCAGUUAUUUUUGCACUUUGACCUUGAAUGCAUCACAUAUUAUCUGUCACUCAUUAACAUUCUUUGUCAUCUUAGAACAUUUUAUAAUAACAUUUACGUUUGAUCUACUUCUUCUAGUAAGGAUUUUACUAUUUUUUUUUUUUUAAGAUUUUAUUUAUUUAUUUGACAGAGAGAGACACAGCGAGAGAGGGAACACAAGCAGGGGGAGUGGGAGAGGGAGAAGCAGGCUCCCCGCAGAGCAGGGAGCCCGAUGCGGGACUCGAUCCCAGGACCCUGGGAUCAUGACCUGAGCCGAAGGCAGUCGCUUAACCAACUGAGCCACCCAGGCGCCCUUACUAUGUUUUUAUGGGGAUUGUUUUUACUAGCAUGUCAGACAUUGUGUCUGGAAGCAGCACAGACAUAGAAUGCCUCAACCUUUUUUCACGGGCACAGAGGAUGAAGGGCUAAUCACCUCAAUUCAGUCCAGAACUGACUUGGUUAGGGCUGUGUUGGAGUGUGAGGUAUGGCUCAAUUCACUUCUGGUUUCAAACAUCUCCGAAGUAAGAAUUCUGCUGUGCUCCUGUAGGCCUUUCUUGCUAGUGGGAAUUUAUUCUUUUUUUAAAAUUGAAGUAUAGCUGACACACAAUAUUACAUUAGUUUCAGGUGUACAACAUUGUGAUUUGACAACUCUGUAUGUUAUGCUAGGCUCACACAUGUGUAGCUACCAUCUGUCACCAUGCAAUGCUAUUAUAAUACCAUUGAUUAUAUUCCUUAUGCUGUACCUUUCAUUUCUGUGAGUUAUUCAUUUCAUAAGCCUGCACCUUCCCUUGCCUUACACCCAUUUUGCCCAUCCCCCCCACCCAACUCCCCUCUGACAGUUAACCAUUAGUUUGUUCUCUGUAUUUAUGGGUCUGUUUCUGCUUUUUAAUUUUUUUUUUAAUUUCACAUGUAAGUGUAACCAUACAGUAUUUUUCUUUCUCUAUCUGACUUAUUUCACUUACACCUUCUGGGUCCAUCCAUGUUGUUGCAAAUGGCAAGAUCUCAUUCCUUUUUAUGGUUGUGUAACAUUCCAUUGUGUAUAGGUAUACACAAACACUACACACACAUACCCCACAUUUUCUUUAUCCCUUAUUCAUCCAUCUAUCAAUGGAUACCUGGUUCACUUCCAUAUUUUAGCUAUUGUAAAUAAUGCUGCAAUAAGCAUAGAGAUGCAAAUAUCUUUUUGAGUUAAAGUUUUAGUUUUCUUUGGGUAAAUACCCAGUAGUGGAAUAACUGUAUCAUAUGGUAAUUCUAUUUUUAAUUUUUUGAGGAACCUCCAUACUGUUUUCCACAGUGGCUGCACCAAUUUACAUUCCCACCGACAGUGCAUGAGGUAUUCCUUUUUCUCCACAUCCUCACCAACACUUAUUUCUAGUCUUUUUAAUAUAGCUAUUCUGACAGGUAUAAUGUAAUAUCUUUUUGUGGUUUUGCUUUGCUUUUCCCUGAUGAUUAGUGCUGUUGAGUAUCUUUCCAUGUGUCUGCUGGCCAUCUUUAUGUUUUCUUUGGAAAAAUGCCUUUUCAGGUUUUCUGCCCAUUUUUAAAUCGGAUUGUUUUGUUUUUUGGUGUUGAGUUGUAUAAGUUUUUUAUAUAUUUUGGAGAUUAACUCCAUUAUUGGAUAUCAUUUGCAAAUAGCUUCUCCCAUUGAGUACGUUGCCUUUUCAUUUUUUUUUUUUUUUUUUUGAUGGUCUCCUCUACUGUUCAAAAGCUUUUUAUUUCGGUAUACAGUCCCAAUAGUUUAUUUUUGCUCUUGUUUUUCUUGCCUGAGGAGACAUAUCUGGAAAAAUGUUGGUAAGGCUGAUGCCAAAAUGAUUAUUGCCUAUGUUUUCUUUUAGGAGUUUUAUGGUUUUAGGUCUCACAUUUAGAUCUUUAAUCCAUUUUGAGUUUAUUUUUGUGUAUGAUAUAAGAAACCUAAGAAGGGUUUUGAGGGACAUGUACAAGAAAAACAUCUAAGUUUUAUUCUUAGGUGAACUGACAUUUUUUGGCUAUAGAUAACGGUAACUGAGGUGAAAAACAGCCUAUUCUUCCCCCCUUUGAGAUGUAUGCCCAUGCAGGUGUUUCUUUGCCACCUCUGUGCUAUUGACAGUGUUGUUAAACUCAGCCCCACCAGGGACAAAGAAUUUUAUACAUGGAAUGGAGAUACUUUUAUACUGCUAGAUGAGUUUUCUGGGAUUUCUAACACUCCCAGUUAUAUAAAAAGGUAUUGGUCUACCCUGUAGAGGAAUAUUAAUAGCAGUGGAAUCAAACAACCAUUGUUAGAAGUUUGUGUGUGUGUGUGUGUGUGUGUGUUUAUAGAGAAAACCUUUAUUUUCUUUCACUGGACUUCAUUACAGAGGUUUCUUGUUUUAUUGCCAUUACUUUUCUAGGCUGGUAUAUAUUUGCACUCUGGUCAAAGGUAGAAAAAGAGUUCCAAAUUACAUGCAAACAUCCAGUGGGUAAUAUUAAAUUAUUUUCAAGAUAGGGGGAAAUGGUGUGUUAUAGACUGUUUAUAUUCCCCCAAACUCAUAUGUUGAAACCCUACUCUUCUUCUCUCGUGUGAUGGUAUUAGGAGGUGGGGCCUUUGAGAAUUAAUCAGGAUUAAAUGAGGUCAUGAGGGUGGAACACUCAUGAAUGGAUUAGUGCCCUCAUAAGAGUCAUGACAGAGCUUGCUUCCUCUCUCCGCUCUCCACCAUGUGAGAACACAGCAAGAAGUUGGCAGUCUAUAAUCCAGAAGAGGGCUCUCACCAGAAUUCAACCAUGCUGACUACCUGAUCUUGAACUUCCAGCCACCAGAACUGUGAGAAAUAAACUACUGUUGUUUAUAAGCUACCCAGUACUUUUGUUGUAGCAGCCUGAAUGGACUAAGACGUUUGCCUUCCAUUGAGUUAUGUCAUGACUGUUGUUGUAAAACUGGACAAAAAAAUGUUCUUAACAAGAAAUUCAGUGCAUUUGAAGGGCGGUGUUAUUUAUUGGUUUCUUUUCUUUUUUUUUUUUAAGAUUUUAUUUAUUUAUUUGAGAGAGAGAGAAUGAGAGAGAGCACAUGAGAGUGGGGAGGGUCAGAGGGAGAAGCAGACUCCCUGCCGAGCAGAGAGCCGGAUGCGGGACUCGAUCCAGGGACUCCAGGAUCAUGACCUGAGCCGAAGGCAGUCGCUUAACCAACUGAGCCACCCAGGCGCCCUAUCGGUUUCUUUUCAUGUUUGAAAUCAUCUUACAUCUACUUUGGUCCACAUGAGUCAAUGUUCUGUGGCCUCGGUAUAGGCAUAGUACAUGCCUGUGGUGGUACACCUGGCAGGUGGGUCUGUACAUGAUGCAAGGUUCUCUCUAGAAAGGUAAGAGUCACUGUGGGUGAGUUACCUCCACCCUCACACCACAGAUGUGAAAUGAGUUGAAGUGAUUUACCAAGGUCAUGAGUAUACUCAGUGACAAUAUUGGUAGAAGCACAAUGUCAUAGACACCAAAUUAGUGUUUUUUUUCACAGUAUCUUUUGUGUGAAGCUGUAAAGAAUUGCCUAGGGGAUGGCAGGAGCAGAUGACAUCACUCUUGAUGUAAUUCUCUACUUAUAUGACACUUGACUCCACCAAGAAAUAAAGAAAGAGUGGUAUCUGUUUUAUUAUUAGAAGUUGUGUGAUUUGUGAUUCUUCAAUAAUGUAGUUUUUUCUCAUAAUCAGGUUCCUUUCACUAUCUAAGAAUUGUAGAAAGAAAGGGGAAAAUGUACAAUAACUUUUAUAAAAUAAGUGGUGAUAAUUUGGCAAAAAUGUAUUCUGUACUUCAUUUAAGCAUUACUCCAUUAGAUAUCAUAUAAAAACAAGAGGAAUAGAAUAAACCAUCUGGGUUGAAGACUGUAGGAGGAGACUUGGUUGGAAGCUUGUACAUUAAAUGAAAAUAUUUGUACUAGAAGAGUUUGAUUUUUGUAUGCAUGGUGGCAGGCAAUUAGUUUCUUGGCUGUGCUAACUCAUGUUUUUUAAUUCAAAGCUAAAUAUCUGGCAUUUGAAAGCACUCUUAAAAAUGCAUUAUGUAGAUGAGCCUACUUAGAAUACAGCAAAGUAAAGACACUGGGUAAGUUAUAAAAAAUUUAUGCUUGUGAACCACCCUGAUUUCUUUCCCUUCCCCCCAACUCCCUCCAUUCCCUAAUGUAUUUCUUUAAAGGGCUUAUUUUCAAGCAAUCAUUUAAUGAGGGGUUACUAUGUGCUAGGUAUUGUACUAGGUGACUUACAGAUAAUUACGUUAAAUUCUCAAAAAAACUCAGAGAGAGAAGGUUAGUUGGACCUGCCAUGAAGCCUUUUCCUGAUGUAGAACUCACUUGGAACUUACAACUCAAACCUGGUAUAUUUUGCUCCAAAAUCCAAAAAGACCCACCAAGCAUUGUGCCUCUUUCUUUGUGGUAGGUGAUAGAAGGUAUAACAACCUUCUCUCACUUUCUAAGAAAUACCUUGACAUUUCAUAGAUACUGGACUUUCAAAUACUUCCCCAAUGUGGCAGACCUCUGAAACUUCUCAAGCUUAGCUUCUGCCCUCUGACAUGCAUGGGUCUUAUAAGGCAUCUGGGUUCUUAAUUCCUGAUGCCCAGGUGCUUUUGUUAAAACAUCAUCAGUAUAAUGAACAGGCCGAUAUAAUAUCUACGUCACAGAAAGACUAUAAAGAACUAUGUGAUGAUAGAAGGCCUGAGCAAAAUGGCAGAGAUACUUUGUCUCUGUGAAGUAACUGCUUCUGAUUAUCUUUGUUAGAUUAAAAAAAAAAAAAUAGGUUAAGUCAAUAGCUGUAAACUAGCAGCUAGGGACUGUAGUGAUUUUUCCUAAUCCUCAACUGCAGAUUAAGUUUGUGGUAAUGCUCAGUCUCCAAGACCUAUCAAACUUGUAUACCAACCAAAUGAGUUAUUUAAGUGGACAUGUGGUUGUAAUAACUUUCCCUGUUAAAAAUCUUUUGUUGCGGACCUAAUUUUUUCACCUGACCCGGGCAUGUGGAAUCACUUUUGGAUUGCUGUACUUUGAGGAGGGUGGGGGGAGAAAGAGUGAGAAGAGGGCAAGUUUUACUGAAAGCAGAGAAAAUAGUUACAUGGGAGGGGCCACCUGACAGAAACUGAGAGCUUCGGUGAAGCUAGAGCCAAUUCCGGCCUCCAGCGGGGAUGGACCUGGGAGGAUACACACAUGCCCUGAUCUCCACCCUCCUCCUCCACCCUCUUCCUCCACCCUUCCAAGGCGCUGGUGCUCCUCAUUGGUCAAACCUACAAGAAGCCGGAGCGCGUGGAGGCUAUCCGGGUAUGCCACAGAAAUCAGCUUCCUGGAGAACAAGCAGAAUAAAUAAGGAUGGAGAGACGAUGAUAGGGACUUUGGACUACAAGACAAGAAUGAAAUCUGCCAUCGUAAGACAUCUGGUAGGAAAACCAGAUGACCAAGCUCUGUUGACCUGUUAACAGUAGACACUUUGGAAAAAUAGUUCAGUGGCUUUUCACAUAUCCAGAGACCUCUUAAUCUGGAAGAUGCAACAAGGACAACGUUAUUCUUUUAACUCUGCAGGAAAAUUCUCUUCGAUGCAAAAAAGAAUCUCAGAAAGAUCAUGCCACAGAUCUCCUGUAUUUCAUUUAUAGCUCAGAGGUAGCAAUGGGAAAGGAGAUACCAGACCAUUAAGAGUGGGCUGAUGAAAUUGUUGGAAGUUUGGAAGAGAUUACUACCUCAUCUGUCCAGAAUGACCAUUCAAAAAAUAUCAGAUAUGCCGCUGACAAAAGUGUCAGCAGCAGUGGCCCCAACCACCUCCUACGCAUUCUCACGCUCAUCCUGGACACUCCCUUGCUUUCCUGUCUUCACAGCACAUACCACUCUGAAAAGAAAACAAAAGGUGCUGCCUGUGAUGAAGAAACAGCCCCAAGAAGGAAGUCUUUGAAUGGAAGCACUAAGACUAGAAAUGUGGAUCUGUGUGUGUACAAGGCCAACAGGAUGAUGCAGGGACUGAGGGACUGAGUUUUUUACUGCAGUUUCUCCCAGUGCACUGGCUGUACAUCAAGUUGGAACUGGGGAUGGCAGCUUUCCACCCAUGGGACUGCCAGAUGAAAGAUGGUGGAGGAGUAGGGGACCCUAUUUCAACUGGUCCCUGGAAUUGAGCUGGAUAUCUACCAGACCACUCUGAGCACCCACGAAACCACCCUGAGAUGUAAGAAGAUCUGGAUCUCUACAAAGAGAAUAUCACAGGCGGUUGGUUUUGAGAGAGAGAGAGCACGAGCAGGGGAAGGAGCAGAGAGAGGGGAAGAAGCAGAUUCCAUGCUGAACACAGAGCCCAGCAUGGUGCCUGAUCUCAAGAUCCCAAGAUCAUGACCUGAGCCGAAAUCAAGAGUUGGACACUUAACCAACCGAACUACCAGAUGUACUGUUCCAUUUGGAAGUCAAGUCAGGUGCACCUGAGCAGAGUCCUGCUGCAAGAGAUUUGAGGACAUCGCCCUCCUUCAUUUGUGGGAUAUCAAAGGCUCCAGACAGUGUGAAAAUUUCCCUUUAAUUAUAAUGGGAACCCAGAAUAUCAUAUUGACCCCUCUCUGGGUAGCAC